AAAGAUCUUUCCUUCUUCUCCUAUUAAUGGAGUUCUGAUUAUCAUUUUCUACACUCAUUUCCAAAUUCUCUGAUUUCUAACACUUACGACAGCUGACUUUCCAUUAUAACUUUGAAUUGAUUGUCUAGUAUUGUCGUCCAUUUUUUUAGCUUCGAUCUCUUUAAUUUUAUGAAGAUUUCUUUUGCUUGAGAGUUUUGCGUUAUUAUAUACACCCAAAUUGCCAUUUUCUUGUAUAAAGAAAUUCAGCUGAGUGAAUGACAUUGCAGUUGCAGUUAUAGUAAUAAUAAUUCUCUGCUUCAAUGAAGAAUGCUGAUGGUCACAGACAGGUGGUGGAGAUGAAUGCUGAAAAUCGGGGCUCGUGAUCAAGAUUAUGAUUAUGCACUGAUGAGAUCGAGGCCUUGAAGAUGUUGCAAGGAUCGAAGAGGUUAUUGAUGAGAGGUCAAAGCACUUUGCCAGGACGAGUUUGUGGAUGAGAGGAAGAUGAAGUGUCAUGAAAGAAGUGGAAGAGGAUGAUUGAAGAUGAAGAGAAAAACCAUGUUUUUUAUUUAUGUACUAGUAGUAAUUUUUUUAGUGUUGAAGAUGAAGAUGUGGAAGUGGACGUAAACGUGAGCUCUAAAAAAUACUCCCAAUUCAUUUUCCUCAAACUAAUGAAACAUAUUAUGAAAA